GCUUGCAGCCAUACCACCGUGAACACACCUGAUCUCAUCUGAGCUUGGAAACUAAGCAGGGUCGGGCCUGAUGAGUACUGAAAGCGAGAAAUGUUAGCU
rnacentral:rRNA from 1 species